rnacentral:rRNA from 1 species
AACAAACGCUGGCGGCGUGCCUAAUACAUGCAAGUCGAACGGGGAAAGCUUUCGGGUGUGUACUAGUGGCGCGCGGGUGGGGGACGCGUGGAUAAUCUGCCUUAAUGUGGGGUUUAACUAGUCGAAAGGUUAGCUAAUACACCAAGACAACGCAAGCUACGUCUUUUGGGGUCAAGGGUUUUUUGCUCUCAGAUGAGUCCGCGUAAGCCUAGCUCGUUGGUGCGGUAUCGCCUCACCAAGGCGACGAUCUUUAACUGGUCUGAGAGGAUGAACAGUCACACUGGAAAUGAGACACGGUCGAGACUACUACGGGAGGCAGCAGGAGGGAAUAUUGCACAAUGGAGGAAACUCUGAUGCAGGGACGCCGCGUGAGUGAUGAAGGCCUUCGGGUCGUAAAGCUCUGUCGUAGGGGAAUAACACAAUGACGGUACCCUGUAAGAAAGGACCGGCUAACUUCGUG